rnacentral:misc_RNA from 1 species
GAAAUGCGAUAAGUAAUGUGAAUUGCAGAAUUCAGUGAAUCAUCGAAUCUUUGAACGCACCUUGCGCUCCUUGGUAUUCCUUGGAGCAUGCCUGUUUGAGUAUCAUGAAAUCUUCAAAGUAAAUCUUUUGUUAACUCAAUUGGUUUCUACUUUGGUAUUGAGGUCUUUGCAGCUUCACACCUGCUCCUCUUUGUUCAUUAGCUGGAUCUCAGUGUUAUGCUUGGUUCCACUCGGCGUGAUAAGUUAUCUAUCGCUGAGGACACUGUAAAAGGUGGCCAAGGUAAAUGCAGAUGAACCGCUUCUAAUAGUCCAUUGACUUGGACAAUACUUUUAUGAUCUGAUCUCAAAUCAGGUAGGACUACCCGCUGAACUUAAGC